UUAUGGCCAUAUCCCUUUGAAACACUGGUUCCUGUACGAUCACUGAAGUUAAGCAACAUCAAGCCUGGUCAGUACAUAGAUAGGCAAUCACUUGAGAAUACUAUGUGCUGUAA